rnacentral:lncRNA from 1 species
GUGGUGGCUUCACGAUUGGUGGUGUUGGUUUUACUGGAGGAGGAGGGCAUGGCGUUUCAGGCUUUGGUGGCUUCACGGCUGGUGGUUUUGGUGGAGGCUUGACUUUGGGAGGUUUUGCUGGUGGCUUAGGUUUGGGUGGGGAAGGGCAAGAGGGACAGGCAAGUGAAGUAAGCAAAGCACCCAAGCUCAAAAGAAGAAUCAAGAGAUUAGCCACAGCAAACUUAGCCAUCGUGUCUACUUACUUGACUGAGUUCUCAAGUGAAUAUGAAGCUUAAGUCAUGCAUCCUAUCCUUCUUAUAGACAUGGUAGAUCUAAGAUUCAUGCCCAUAUUAUUUUCAGUCCAAUAUUUUAUUGUGACUUUUGUCAUUAUUGAUUGACUUAACAGACACCACUGCUUUGCGCUAGUAAUCGUGAUCGUUCAUAUAGUUUCAUUAUCAAUAAUCAAAUUCGAUUUUGGGGCGAAUAAAAUGGCAUUUCAAUUAUUUCGUCGCCAAUUAUCAAAUUGGAUUUCGGGACAAGGAAAUCAAAAAACACGGUUUUUGGAUAGAGGACAUUUUAACCUUUAGUGCCUUGCUGUGCUCGUUAUUGGCCAAGGCUGCUAGAAACCACUCGUGGAAAUGAAACGAUUGAUGGUAAGAAUUAACGUAUCAAUUUUCAAGUAUUGAGAUUAAAAAUAUCUUUUAUCUAGUUUGAAACAAAGUUAUUAAAACAGUACCUGUCCAUCACCCGGUUAAGAUUUUAAUUAUAAGCCAUAUAAUCAAUUCAAAAUAAUAUUAUUUUAAUAAAAAUAAUAGUUGUUAUUUUAAAAAUUUUUAUAAAUUAAAUUAAAUUUUAAUUGAAUUAAUAAAAUUACAAGUUAAUCUCUUCCAAUUUAAUUUGAAAUAUGAUCCUUGCAAAAUUGUGAUUCCACUGGUUAUCAAAUUGAUUAGUUGGGUUUCGGUAAGUUUAGUAACAUUGUUUUAAUUACAUAGUUGAUUAAGGUUAGAAUGUUGUAUUAUAAGGAACACUUUACUAUCUAUCUCUUUCAAAACUUUAAUCUUAAAUCAUUAUUGUAAACUUCUGUCAAAUGAAUUAUGUAAUUUUCUUAGAGAGAAUAAAUCCUUAUGUGAAGAACAACAUAUAUAAGAGGACAAGCAACGCUCGGGUUUUUGGCACUCUAUAUCAUAGACUUGUAAAAUCUGUCUGUCUAGUGAAUCCAAUUGUGUCGGCCACAUACUCGCAAACAAUUAAAAUAGAGAAAAACACUAGUUUGAUGCAUGCUUUUCUUGCAUUAGAAUUUCCAAACAACUAACAUGGCUUGAUUUGCAUAAUUGCUCGAGAGAUUAGGACAUGUAUUCUUAGAGUACGUGGAUGAUUUCAUUUAGAGAUUUCAAGCAAUAAAAAAUUAAGUAUAAAUAAUAUGAAUUUAUAUUAAUUUUAAACCUAAAAAACUUUUACUUAAAAGAAUAUGUUAAAAAAUAAUAUAAAUAAUCAUAUCUUGAAAUUUAACUUAACAAUUUAAACUAUUAAAUUGAAAUAGUUCUUUGACAUUAAAAUAUAUAUUCUUAGAAUAUAUAAUUGAUAAAAAUUAGAGUUUUCAAGAGUUGUAAUAUUGAUAGAAAUUUGCAAUAUCAAGAUAAUUAUAUUUAUAUUAUAGGAUAAUUUAAGUUACUUAAAAAAAUAAAUAUAUCUUUAAUAAUUAUAAUGCAUUUAAAAAAUUAAAAGAAUGCUUUGAUUUCAAAAUUCAUUAUAAUAAUAUAUUUAUAUUUUGUUUUGUUUUAUUUCAGGGGUUAUAUCGUGGUGGGGUUGAUUUUUUUUAUGGAGAAAUCUCUUCAGUGAACUCUUUAGCAAUGCUAUUAAAAUUAUCAAACUGUAUAUUGAAUUACUAUGUAAUGGUUUAAGUAGUGGAAUUACAUUGGUCAAACAACUGGAUCAAAAGCAUUAUAAUAUAACUUCUUUUUUCCAAAAUUAAAAUUAUAGAACAAGAAAUGAUAAAGUGGUAUUUGCAUAAUUUGUGAAGGUGAGGUACCAAAUUCGCGGAACCGUGAAGAAAGGAAUCUUUAUUUUUUUAAAAGAAAAAAUACCAGAUCAAUGUCAAAUUCGACUAUCCAACCAAUCAUAAUUCUUCAUAUUUAGAAUGUUUUGAUCGAGAUUUAUCUCAACCUUACGUGCAUGCUCCUCUAAUGCAUCAACUGAGAUACGUUGGAUGGCUACAUCAUUGGAUUUUCGAUCCCACCAAACUUAUUGACAUUAAUAGUUAGAAACUAAUCAAAGUGGGCACAGCUACCAAUUGAGCCGCCGACAUGGCUACUUGCUCCCGAGGAUAGGCGGCGAUCGGGAAGUUUCUUUCUCACUUCACACCGAAGCUAGACUGGGUAUAAUAUCCAAAAAAGACAACUUGCAAGGCCAGCUCUUAUCGAUGGCACAUCCUUCUGGAUUCUUAAUUCUUUUAUCAAAUUGAUGUUCGUCUUUUGCGGCAUCAUUCUUCUUAUUUAGUCAUCCAAAGAGAUAUAUAUAUAAUAGUCUAUCAUCUAAAUGAACUCUCUAUCACCACCAGUGGCAUUGACUAGCGAUGACAGUGUAGUUGCCCUCUGAAUUCAGUCCAGAUAAGAAACUAUACAAUGCAUGCAUGUGAAUUCAAGCUUCGAAUGAAUUACAUUUCAUGGAGAGAGAGAGUGAAAUUUCUUCGACCGACAUCACCCUGUGUCUCUCACUCAUUUCAUCGAGUUUUCACCAAGCCACAGUGUUGGCCUGCAGAUCAGAUUAUGAAUCUCUCUCACCAUGUAGAAUGUUUGAAAAUGAAAUUAUAGUUGUUUUUUAAAAAAAAUUUCAUCAGCAAAUCAAAAUGAUGUAAAAAUAAAAAAAAUAUAUUAAUUUAAAAUAAAAAAAAUAAUUUUUUUUAAAUUACUUUUUGACAGCAAUAUCAAACACUAACUCGCCAUUGUUGUGUGAUAUAUUGCUCGGACUUGUAUCCAAUUGUUAGGUUCGUCAAGUUCAAAAUUUUAGAAUAUGGAAACACCGAUUGAAAGUCUGCUAAGGUCAAGGUAAUACGUUAUAAAAUAUACUAAAUGAUGUACCCAUGGAUCAAGUUAAAAAAAAUUUAACGUAAAAAAAUAUAUUCAAAUGGUGUUAAUCUUUUUUUUCCUAACAAAAAAAAUUAUAUUAUGUAAGAAUUUACUUGGUGUAACCCAAUUGAUUUUACUAGUCCAAAAAUAUAUUAACAUGCGCUUGACUUUACUAGUCUAAAAAUAUAUUAACAUGUGCUCUGAUGCAAGGUGUAAUUUUCAUUUUUUUUUUAAAAAGCUUGGGUAUAUGCUAUUUUGAUAUUCUUUUAUAUUAAAAAACUCAAAGUUUCAAUUGAAAAAAUUAUCUAGAUAUUUAAUUAAAUAAAUUGAUAAUUAUUUAUGUAAAUAAAAAAAAUAUUAUUAACAAUAACUAAAAGAGAAACUGGAAAAAUUAAGAGAUUAAUGUAGAUCAAAACAUUUAAUCUCACAUAAUAAAACAUUUACAUGUUUGUAUCUAUUAAUUUGUUUUAUUAAAAUCAAUAAAAGGUAAUAAAAAUAGAAACAUACAUGAAACUUAAUGAAUAAAAUAAAAGAAAAAAUAUAUAUUAUGCAAGGCCUCACAUAUUAAAAAUAUUAUUUUAAAAUAAAUAUUUUUCUUAUAAAAUAAAUUUUAUAUGUAUAAAAUAAAAAAAAUCUUCAAAUAUUAAAUACAAAAUAUUUGUUUUAAAAAACCUCUAUUCAUAAAGGACUACAAAACUCGUGGUUUAGGUCACGAGAACAGGAUGAUUUGAUAUAUAAAAAAAAUUGAAGAUAACCACAAAAUCAAAAUUUUAAAAAAUAAUAAUACAAAAUCAUAAAAUAAAAUGAGAAAAAAAUCUCUAAUUGUAUAUAUCAAUUUGUGACCCGUAUUAUUAGAUUAGACCAAUAGAAAAAUCAUGAAAUCUAAUUUUUAACAAAUCGAAUGUUGAAGAAUAAAACUUGAAAAAAAUCAAUAACAUAAAAAAUUGUAAUUAAAAAUUAAAAAUGAAAAUAAAAAUAAAUUAGACAGCAAAAAUAAUUAAAUUUAAACAAACAAACAAUACAUUGUUUGCCAUCUAUUAACCGUCAUUGUGUGCCAUACUAGAAGGAAAAGGGCUAGGUGACGCUUCCAACAACAUCCUGAGAAUACAAAAGAAAAAUGCUCUAUCUACUUUUUAAUUAAAAAAUAAUUAUUAACCGUAAAAAGUUCAAAUUAUUUGUCUGUUUUAUUAAAAAAAAGGAUAAAAAUUCCCUUUGUAAAUGGAUCUAUUUUUUUUUAUUUUAGAAAUAAAUAAGUCAUUAUAUUAUUUUAAAAAAAGUGAAGAAGAUGACAAAAUAGCCCCUGACAAGCCAUUAAAAAGAACGGAAUUACUCUCCAAACAAAAGUAUCUAUUUCUCUCGAAGGAUAAAAGCGUGAUUUAACUUUCACAUCAAAUAGUCUUUUGUGUUUCUGUGUGCACAAUGAUUUCUAUAGGCACCACCAUUCAUUAUUUCUGUAAAUAAUAGUACUAUAUAUAGGCUUAUAGAAGAAAGAAAAAAACAAAGAAAAAUAGUACUACGUACAGUCCUAUAGAAAGUGAAAUGUUGAAAAUUUAGGGUCCCGUUAUCAAGUGUCACCACAUUUAGGUCCUAUCAUAUCAAAAUACAUGCAAAAGAGCACAUUCCAUGCCUGUAUUAAUUUCCUCCUCCUCCCACCCCCUUUCUAGCCAAGCACUGCCCAUGUAUAGCAUUAAAUGUAGGUCACAUCAUCACAUUUUAGCUCAUCGUAGGUCGUUUCUUCUUAGUACCCUAUACAUCCUCGGUCAUGUUAUGGGUCUACAAUAUUUUGAGCACAUAAAAUAUUUCAUUUUCUUUUUCUAUUUCUAGCUUUUCAGGGGAACCCAUUACUGCCCUUUUAUAGUACUUUAGGUCACAUCACAAGAAUCUUCUGGAGAAGGAGAGAUGGUCUUGGUCACCAAUCGAGUAAACUUUUCAAUCCAAGCAUGGAUUCCAGGGGCCUCAAAACCAUCACCUUUGUUUUAGAGGAGAAAAUUAGGACACUCACGCCGAAUGGAAUACGAGUUUAUUUGGAUAUUAAGAGGGAGUUUAAGCAGUGACGGAGGGAGGGGGCUGGCAGGGGCCAACUCCUACAAAAAAUGCCCUUUUUUUUUAUAAAUUUAAUAAAUAUAAUUGAAUUUUUUUCUUGCCCCCCUUAAAUUAUGAUUUGACCCCCCUUAAAUGUUUUUUCUUGCUCCGCCCCUGAGUUUGAGAGUGAUUGUUUUUUAAUUUGUUUUUCAUGAAAAUAUAUUAAAAUUAUAUUUUUUUAUUUUUAUUAAAAAUAUUAAUUUAAAAUAAAAACAUAAAAAAAUUUAAUAUUUUUUUUAAAUAUUUUUAAAACAAAAAAAUAAACAUACCCUGAAUUAUAAGCAGGGAAUGCAUAAAGAGCGAGCAUAAACCCCGGUCUCCGACAGAGUAUAACAUACACAAUAAGCAAAGCAAAUUAAGACAGUAUAUUAUAUCGUAAAGGGAAAAAAGGAACAUAAGAAAAUCCAAUAGGAGAACAAAACACAGGAUAUCGUAUUGAAGUAUGCUUCAUUCUAGCCACUUGAAGAUCUCUCGCGCAGUUAGACACAUGAAGAUCCCUCGUGCGGUUAUUCUUUAUGCUUUUAAGCCCACACUUGUAUAGCCGGCCCGUAUGUUACCACAACCUGCAAUGAUCAAACACAGAUGACAAACUAUGAAUUAAUAUUUUUCUAAUUAACUGAACAUCUACUCAAAAUCAAGAAUAAACCAUAUAUAUAUAUAUAAAUAUAUAUAUAUAUAGCGAAAUCCUGAAGAUUGACGAAGCUAGGCAGUACCUAAUUAAUUAGGUCGGACACUUGAACCCUUCAGGUGGGGUCUUGCCACAGUCAACAAGGAGCUCCAGAGCAAUGGGUAAAAUAAGAUUGAUGUUGAGAAGUUUAGCCUUGAUAGCGGUGCAAAGGCAUAAAGCAGCGUCCAAGUCUACAAGACCUUCCAGCAGUGGGCAGCAUUCAUCCUUGGCACUACUGCCAAUACCAACGUGGACCAGUCCACCUAGGACAUCCACACAUGCGCCUAACUUGAGAGUGUCAAUGGGGCAAGUCUCUUGCUUCGGUGGUGUUGGUGGUGGCUUCUCGAUUGGUGGUGUUGGUAUUACUGGAGGCUCUGGUGGAGGAAGAAUUGGUGGUGUUGGUAUUACUGGAGGAGUCACUGGAGGCUUUGGUGGAGGAAGAGUUGGUGGUAUUGGUAUUACUGGAGGAGUCACUGGAGGCUUUGGUGGCUUUAUAGGAGGAGUCACAGGAGGCUUUGGUGGAGGAAGAGUUGGUGGUAUUGGUAUUACUGGAGGAGUCACUGGAGGCUUUGGUGGCUUUAUUGGAGGAGUCACAGGAGGCUUUGGUGGCUUUAUAGGAGGCUUUGGUGGCUUUAUAGGAGGAGUCACAGGAGGCUUUGGUGGCUUUAUAGGAGGCUUCGGUGGCUUUAUUGGAGGAGUCACAGGAGGCUUCGGUGGCUUUAUUGGAGGACGCUUUGGUGGUUUAGGGUGAGGUGUGUAAGGGCAAGUGGGACAGGCAAGUGAAGUAAGCAAAGCACCCAAGUUCAAAAGAAGGAUCAAGAGAUUAGCCACAGCAAACUUAGCCAUCGUGUCUCCUUACUUUCCUGAGUUCUCAAGUGAAUAUGAAGCUUAAGUCAUGCAUGCUAGCAUUCU